UACGGGGGGGGGCAAGCGUUGUUCGGAAUUACUGGGCGUAAAGGGUUUGUAGGUGGCCCGCUAAGUCACACGUGAAAUCCCUCAGCUUAACUGGGGAACUGCGUGUGAGACUGGCAGGCUCGAGGGCAGGAGAGGAACGCGGAAUUCCAGGUGUAGCGGUGAAAUGCGUAGAUAUCCGGAGGAACACCGGUGGCGAAGGCGGCUUCCUGGACCGACACUGACGCUGAGGCGCGAAAGCUAGGGGAGCAAACGGG
rnacentral:rRNA from 1 species